AUUUACAGAGAUUGGCCUAAAUUAAUAAUUUCAAUCUCGUAACUCUCCCUUUCUCUAUACAUCAACGUCUUCAUUUUUAUUUUAUUUUUGUCUGUUAUGGGCCGCAGAAAGAGUUAUUUAUGCUUACUCAUCAUCCCAACACCUCACUCACGCCAAUCAUCCCCCCCUCUCUCUCUCUGCAACCUGUCCAACAAAUCCCUCUCAACUCUCUCUUGCCAUUUUUCUCAACUGUUGUAAGAUUUGCAGAGUGUAAUGUGAACUUUCUGUUUCUUGAGUAAAAGUCCUGUUCUCAGUAGUCAGUAAUCUAACUUUUCAAAAAAGGUGCAACCUUGUGUAGUUUUUCUGCUCAUUUUUAAUGCCCAUUUGCUCAAAACUGAUUUAAAUCAAUCCUUUCAAAAUUUUAAAUCAUGUGUUCUCGCUAAUUUGUUCGGAUUUCUUGUUUUCUUUGUGUUUUCGACAUGCCCAUUUUCUUGAACUUGUUCUGAACUAGUGAAAUAUAGUUUUUGGAAAAUGGGAUCUCGUUAAAUCAUUAGCUUCUUAUAUUUUUAUCUUUGAAACUUUUAAAAUCUACGAAGUUUUGAUAUUCUAACACCUUAUCAUGUAAUUGAUCUCAAGCCUUCUGUUUCAAAAUUUCUCUUUGGUUUUUGCGAAAAGCAGUUAAUGAGUAGGAAGCUUUUUGGGAUAUAAUGUAAGAAAGGUGUUAAAAAGUGGUGGAUCUGAGCUCUAUCGAAAUCAACCGUUAGUUUAGUUCUUGGAAGAUGUAAAGAACUUUCUUGAUUUUGGAAUGGAUUCAUNNN
rnacentral:lncRNA from 1 species